UAUAUACACAUCCUCUUUCUCUUGAAAAAGUUGCACAUAUAGAAAAGAUAUAGUUAUAUCAAGAGUUAUUGUCAUCGUGUUCAAUAGAUGGCUAAGUUAAUAACCAUAGCAAACCUUUUUUCAAUUACGCUUCUUGCCUCAGUUUUUUUAUUGGUGACAAUUCAAGUGGCUGAAGGUGAGAAAUGUAAGCAACAUUGGGCAAAUUAUUUUUGCGAGAACGCUGAUAUUGACUCUGAUAUUUGUAAAAAUAUAUGUAAGCAACUUCAUCCAAGGCAUGGAACAUUUGGAUAUUGUGUACAUCCCCAUUGUGUUUGCAUUUACAAAUGCUAAUACUUGGGCCUCUAUUGUGUAAUAAGAACUUAAGAACCAUAAUUUAGGGUCCCAAAUAUUUGGGUACGUGCUUUGAAGAAUAAAAACCUAAAAUGAUCAAUCAAUAAAGUUUGUAUUGCAUUUUAAUGGAAAUAUUUAGUAACAAAAAAUUAUUAAUGAAAAACAGUCAGAACUUCUUGUAUUA